CCUACGGGGGGCAGCAGUGGGGAAUAUUGGACAAUGGGGGCAACCCUGAUCCAGCCAUGCCGCGUGUGUGAAGAAGGCCCUCGGGUUGUAAAGCACUUCCAGUGAGGAAGAACGCCUGGUGGUUAAUACCCAUCAGGAAAGACAUCACUCACAGAAGAAGCACCGGCUAACUCCGUGCCAGCAGCCGCGGUAAUACGGAGGGUGCGAGCGUUAAUCGGAAUUACUGGGCGUAAAGCGCGCGUAGGUGGCUUGAUAAGCCGGUUGUGAAAGCCCCGGGCUCAACCUGGGAACGGCAUCCGGAACUGUCAAGCUAGAGUGCAGGAGAGGAAGGUAGAAUUCCCGGUGUAGCGGUGAAAUGCGUAGAGAUCGGGAGGAAUACCAGUGGCGAAGGCGGCCUUCUGGACUGACACUGACACUGAGGUGCGAAAGCGUGGGUAGCAAACAGGAUUAGAUACCCCUGUAGUA
rnacentral:rRNA from 1 species